rnacentral:rRNA from 3 species
UUGACCUCGGAUCAGGUAGGGAUACCCGCUGAACUUAAGCAUAUCAAUAAGCGGAGGAAAAGAAACCAACCGGGAUUGCCUCAGUAACGGCGAGUGAAGCGGCAAGAGCUCAAAUUUGAAAGCUGGCUCCUUCGGG